AUUGAACGCUGGCGGCAUGCUUUACACAUGCAAGUCGAACGGUAACAGGUUAAGCUGACGAGUGGCGAACGGGUGAGUAAUGCAUCGGAACGUGCCCGAUCGUGGGGGAUAACGCAGCGAAAGCUGCGCUAAUACCGCAUACGAUCUGAGGAUGAAAGCGGGGGACCGUAAGGCCUCGCGCGAUCGGAGCGGCCGAUGUCAGAUUAGGUAGUUGGUGGGGUAAAGGCCCACCAAGCCGACGAUCUGUAGCUGGUCUGAGAGGACGACCAGCCACACGGGGACUGGGACACGGCCCAGACUCCUACGGGAGGCAGCAGUGGGGAAUUUUGGACAAUGGGCGAAAGCCUGAUCCAGCAAUGCCGCGUGCAGGAAGAAGGCCUUCGGGUUGCAAACUGCUUUUGUACGGAGCGAAAAGGUCCUUUCUAAUACAAGGGUCUCAUGACGGUACCGUAAGAACAAGCACCGGCUAACUACGUGCCAGCAGCCGCAGUAACAC
rnacentral:rRNA from 1 species